rnacentral:rRNA from 1 species
GGUUGAUCCUGCCAGUAGUCAUAUGCUUGUCUCAAAGAUUAAGCCAUGCAAGUCUAAGUAUAAGCAAUUUAUACAGUGAAACUGCGAAUGGCUCAUUAAAUCAGUUAUCGUUUAUUUGAUAGUACCUUACUACAUGGAUAACCGUGGUAAUUCUAGAGCUAAUACAUGCUAAAAAUCCCGACCUCUGGAAGGGAUGUAUUUAUUAGAUAAAAAACCAAUGCCUUCUGGCUUCUUGGUGAUUCAUAAUAACUUCACGAAUCGCAUGGCCUUGUGCCGGCGAUGGUUCAUUCAAA